rnacentral:rRNA from 1 species
GUGCCAGCAGCCGCGGUAAUACGUAGGGUGCGAGCGUUAAUCGGAAUUACUGGGCGUAAAGCGUGCGCAGGCGGCUUUGCAAGACAGAGGUGAAAUCCCCGGGCUCAACCUGGGAACUGCCUUUGUGACUGCAAGGCUAGAGUACGGCAGAGGGGGAUGGAAUUCCGCGUGUAGCAGUGAAAUGCGUAGAUAUGCGGAGGACACCGAUGGCGAAGGCAAUCCCCUGGGCCUGUACUGACGCUCAUGCACGAAAGCGUGGGGAGCAAACAGGAUUAGAUA